CAAGUGUUACUACUUCUCCACGGAGAGGAAGAGCUGGAAGGACAGUCGCAGAGACUGCUUAAGACGGGGAGCUGACCUGGUGAUUAUAGAGAGUGACGAGGAGCAGGAGUUGAUCACCAACAGCACUUUCCAAAGAGCCUUUAACUGGAUUCGACUGAGUGACUGGGGAACAGAGAGCACCUGGCUCUGGGUGGGUGAACCUUUACUGAGGAGAAGGUUCUUCCUGGGCUAUCCUUAUGCACUUGAUUGUGCCCAGACACCUGUGCAUAGAUUGGCUGCUCACCUUUGUGCUCAAGACUGGGGAUGGAUCUGUGAGACAAAUGCACUGCUCGCUUAAACAAUUUUUAUCAUUAUAUGUUUUUGGUUAUUUUGUCUUGUGAUAGUCAGAUGACCAUGCCAGGUUUCACUGACAAACCCGGGACCAAUAAGCAGAUUGAAAUGUUACUAAUACUAUUGGGAAUGUGUGGACUACACUGUGCAUGCUGCUAUUUUAACUAGAAAUAUCUUAAUAUUUCAAGCGCAAACUGAAGACGCACCUCUUCAAGCAGCACCUC